rnacentral:sRNA from 1 species
UCUAUGCUAUAGUAAAGAAGUUAUUUUUGUUCGGGCUGUUUCAAUUACGAAUGAGUAUUUAAACUUUUCGCCUUUGAUAUCAUUUGAGCAACUAUAGUAAUAAAUGGUGGCAACGUCCACAUAAGGAGAUUACACACAUGCAACAAGGUACAGUAAAAUGGUUUAACGCAGACAAAGGUUUCGGUUUCAUCGAAGUUGAAGGUGGAGACGAUGUAUUCGUACAUUUCUCAGCUAUCCAAGGCGAAGGAUUUAAGUCAUUAGAUGAAGGCCAAAACGUUACAUUCGACGUUGAGCAAGGUCAACGUGGACCUCAAGCUGUCAACGUUAACAAAGCAUAAAUAAGAGAAAGGGCUCUAGUAAGGGCCCUUUUUUUG